CCAUUUCUGCCUCCUCACUGCCAAUAUCUGUGAACGGAUCAAUCAUCCAGUUUAGUACUUUAAGCAAACAAAUAAAUACAUCUUGAAACCUGUUUCAUAUCUUUAUGCCAUUCAUCCAGGUGUACGCAAUACGCUUGAAGGUCGUGGUCGGGUAUACUCUUCUCCUUCUUCAGUUCAGAGAAACUUGGAAACUGGAAGAGCUCACAACAUGUUAUGUUUGAAUAACUGUAACUUAGGCAGAAAGGUGGAGAGGACUAAUUUGACUUUGAUAAGGUUCACUUCAUACUUCCUUGCAGUUGCAAAGUGAUUUAGAGGACAUUAUGAAUACAUCUGUUCUCUGGCAAAUAACAGCUCUUGAACCAAGCUUUCAUAUUUGACAAAAUGGACUAAGUCAAGAAGCAAAGCCUCAUUUCCUGUGCAUGGACUAAAUCGUGGUUUAGUAACAGGUUCUGACACUGCUAACAACACAACCAAAUGGUGACUUGCUGAUUCUGAAGGAUACU